rnacentral:tRNA from 1 species
GUUUUUGUAGUUGAAUUACAACGGUGGUUUUUCAGGCCAUAGGUCUUGGUAAAUAGUCCAGGUGAAAAUA